rnacentral:rRNA from 1 species
UACGUAGGGUGCAAGCGUUGUCCGGAUUUAUUGGGCGUAAAGAGCGUGUAGGCGGCCAUGCAGGUCCGUUGUGAAAACUCGAGGCUCAACCUCGAGACGCCGAUGGAAACCGCAUGGCUAGAGUCCGGAAGAGGAGAGUGGAAUUCCUGGUGUAGCGGUGAAAUGCGCAGAUAUCGGGAGGAACACCAAUUGCGAAGGCAGCUCGCUGGGACGUGACUGACGCUGAGACGCGAAAGCGUGGGGAGCAAACAGG